rnacentral:rRNA from 2 species
UACGAAGGAUUCGAGCGUUAUCCGGAUUUAUUGGGUUUAAAGGGUGCGUAGGCGGACCGAUAAGUCAGUGGUGAAAUCCUGUUGCUUAACAACAGAACUGCCAUUGAUACUGCCGGUCUUGAGUACAGUUGAGGUAGGCGGAAUGUGUCAUGUAGUGGUGAAAUACUUAGAUAUGACACAGAACACCGAUUGCGAAGGCAGCUUGCUAAACUGUAACUGACGCUGAGGCACGAAAGCAUGGGGAGCAAACAGG